CCCCCCAUCACGGGCGACAGGUGAAGCGCCUGGAUUGGCCUUCUCCAACGUAUGCUGCCCAAACUCCAGCCCUUACUGGGCUCUCAGGACCUGUGAAGCCUGGCUCCACCCUUUCAACCACGCUGCCCUCCACCCGCUCCUGCACCCUCCAGUUCCUGUCUACACCGCAGUUUCUCCUGCAAGAACCUGUGGAGCGGCUGGACCACAGCCCGCAAGCCUCCUGGCUCUGCGCCUCUCCUAACUCCGCUCCAGGCCUUGCUGCAUCCUCGGGGAAGCUCCCCGCCCUUCCUUCCGGGCUCAGAGCUCUCGCACCGGGAAGCGGGAAGCGCUUUCCCGGGAGACAGGGGCACUGGGCAGUCGCGGAUUUCUAGGAGACCGAGGUCUGCUUCCCACAGCAUGAGCUCCCUGGGGCGGGGACUGCGACCCAGAUGGGCCGUCUCCGUCCCGGGACCCAGCCCUGGGCCAGCAGACACAGGCAGAACCGACGCCCGCGCGCCGGGCUCAGGGGCCGGGGCUUCGUCCUGCAGGACUUCAGAACGGGUGGGUGGAGCCACCAUUCUCCUGGGGAGCUGCUGCUCAGGGCGCCCAGGACACCCUUACUCCUUCCGACUUCCCAGCAUCAUCCGGGCCUUCUCCAUCCCACCUGUGAAACCCUCACCUCCUGCCACAUCUCGGUGCACCUUUC
rnacentral:lncRNA from 1 species